UACGUAGGGGCAAGCGUUGUCCGGAAUCAUUGGGCGUAAAGCGCGUGUAGGCGGCCCGGUAAGUCCGCUGUGAAAGUCGGGGGCUCAACCCUCGAAUGCCGGUGGAUACUGUCGGGCUAGAGUACGGAAGAGGCGAGUGGAAUUCCUGGUGUAGCGGUGAAAUGCGCAGAUAUCAGGAGGAACACCAAUGCGAAGGCAGCUCGCUGGGACGUACUGACGCUGAGACGCGAAAGCGUGGGGAGCAAACAGGAU
rnacentral:rRNA from 1 species